GAUGAACGCUAGCGACAGGCCUAACACAUGCAAGUCGAGGGGCAGCAUGGUAUCAGCUUGCUGAUACCGAUGGCGACCGGCGCACGGGUGAGUAACGCGUAUGUAAUCUGCCUGUAACAGAGGGAUAACCCGGAGAAAUCCGGCCUAAUACCUCAUAGCACAUAUUAUUCGCAUGAGUUUUAUGUUAAAGAGACUCGGUUACAGAUGAACAUGCGUUCCAUUAGCUGGUUGGCGGGUAACGGCCCACCAAGGCAACGAUGGAUAGGGGUUCUGAGAGGAAGGUCCCCCACACUGGUACUGAGACACGGACCAGACUCCUACGGGAGGCAGCAGUGAGGAAUAUUGGUCAAUGGGCGAGAGCCUGAACCAGCCAAGUCGCGUGGAGGAAGACUGCCCUACGGGUUGUAAAACCUCCUUUUUAACCUGGGGAAUAACGGGGCGCUACGCGUAGCGCUGUGCAUGUACCGGAGAAGUAAGCAUCGGCUAAUUCCGUG
rnacentral:rRNA from 1 species